rnacentral:sRNA from 1 species
AAAGGAUCAUGAAUCGAGAACCACUCAAGA